CACGCAGUUCAACUACCACCGCAAGAAGAACAUCGCCGCCGAGCGCAAGGAGGCCAAGCAGGAGAAGGAGGAGGCCGACCGCUACCAGCGCCUCAAGGACGAGG